rnacentral:lncRNA from 1 species
AUGUUUAGUAAAGGCAGGAAGAGAGACGUUCUACAGGGCAAGUGCAGAGAAAGGAAGCAGGAAAGGAAGUACAGUACACUCUGCAGGGCCAGAGUGGACCACUGUGAAAUAGGGACCACAGUGGCUUCAUUCAUCUGCAAGAGACACGAUCACCACCGCACAAAGAGUGGCACCUUACUAAUGCAUUCCUGGCAUGUCUCUGAGGUGGAUUUCAGAUUCAAAUCACAUAGACCCCAAUACAUCGACUGAGGCUUUAUUCAAGAGAUUAACUAGGUUGUAAUUACCUGAAACCCAGAGAUGAAUCCAGACUUUGUGGAUCUUAAACCCUUUGAAAUAUGCAAAGUGCCUUCUA